CAGCAGCUCCUUUGGCUCCUCUUGGAAAUGACAGCUUUGAUUCUCCAGCUUGGUUUUAUCCUAAUCGUGUCUUACUCUUGAUUUGACCUCUUCCCAGGAGAGUGUAACUUCUUCAUAAAGGUGAACGAGUCUUCAUUGGAGAUUGCUUGAGAUUCUUGCUUGGCUUCGUCCAAAGAUCAUCCCGGGACCAGGUUCAACCAGAUAAGUUACACUCUAACCCCCCCCCUCCCCUUACGGUUCCUUGUUCCAUAAGUUAGAUCAGCCAACUCAUGAUUUCCCCCUACCUUUGCCAGUCAGCCUGGACGAGGAAAUGAUGGUCAGAGCCCUCCGAACCACACACAGCGACAGCUGCUUGGUCUGUCUGCCCACUCAAAGCAAGGCAUCCGCCCCCUUAACAUUUUUAGCCAACGUGAGGUCAGUAGAACAUGGUGCAACACUUGGCGUGCUGGAAAGGGUGCAGAGUACGUGGUAUUUAAUUGAGGCCCACAGGCGGACCAUUAAGAAAGAUGUUUCCUCAGCUGAUAAGUUAUGUGACUCGUGGUUUUUUCUGUUAAUCACAUGAGGAGAAGCUCCGGUUUCAUCUUUUGGCACGUCGUGGAUCCCUGCCGUUGCUAAUGGUGACUGAGGACUUUGUGGUCGUUGGAGGUCCAGCAGCGUUGAUGGGCGGCGCACCGUUUCCAGUGGACCGGCCGUUUGGACGCCCCACACCGCCAAAUGUCGGGUCACGGAGCGCGCCUGGUGUUGGGUUAUUGGCAAACGGCGGCAUGGCACCAUUACCUACAGCCCGGUCUAUGGAUCCUGGUCAAUGAGCUGCAAUGAUGAGCAGCAAAGCUCAUCAGAUAGAUGGAUGGACGUGGUGUUAUCGUUUGCAGACAGAUCUGGAAGAAUGAGCCUUAAGAUGGAGCAGAACACCAAUUAUAGACUCCAAGAAGUGGAGACUUCCCACUAUAUCUCACCCUGCUCAUUCCAGCUGAUAUGAAGAAGCUACCGAAUCUAUCCUUAUUUUAAGUUCUAAGAUGGUUCAUUCCGAUUUGGUUCAGCAGGUCCUAUUGAUGGCUUUAAUGAUUGCUGUUCAGAACCUCUUCAAACUGUCCAAGACAGAUCUCAGCUCAGUUUGGCAGGAAGUCUUUGGUCUAAAUGCAACAAAACAAUUGGACAAGGCAUACCUAAUAAAGUGGCCAAUGAUGGUAAACAAUUCAAAUGCUUAGAAGCAAGUAACUAAUACAAUUGAACCGUGAUUAUUAUUUUUUUUAUUAAGUAAUAUUACUUUAAAGUAUUGCCGGUAAAAAAACAAAUCUUUAGCCACUUUCCUGAAUAAAAAGACAGAGAAACUAUUCAAGUUUCACAAAAUCAGUUUUCUUUUUUGUUCGUUGUUUUAAUGUUACUUUAACUGACUGAGACUUUCAUUACAUGGAGGUCAAGGUAAUAUACAAUAAAAGAUAAUUAUGUAGCUGGAA